CCUUUGUACUGGUCUAAGUACAAAGAAGGUGUUGUAGGCAAAUCCGCAACAUGUAACUUUGAAGUAUGAUAGAUAGGGGUAACCCGAAGUAUCUGACACUUUGCUUCCAAGAAAAGUUUCUAAAGAUAUAAUUAUGGACCCGUACCGAGAACGAACACACGUGGUCAAGGAGAAUAUCCUCAGGCAAGCGAGAAAACUAUAGUUAAGGAACUCGGCAAAUUAGCCCUGUAAGUUCGCGAGAAGGGGCGCCUAGGGCAACCUAGGCCCAGUGAAGAGGCACGAACGACUGUUUAUCAAAAACACAGCUCUCUGCUAACUCGUAAGAGGAUGUAUAGGGGGUGACGCCUGCCCAGUGCUCCAAGGUUAAGAGGAGGGGUUAGCCAGCAAGUAAUUGUUGGUGAAGCUCUGAAUUGAAGCCCGAGUGAACGGCGGCCGUAACUAUAACGGUCCAAAGGUAGCAAAAUUCCUUGUCAGGUAAGUUCUGACCCGCAUGAAAGGCGUAACGAUUCGUGCACUGUCUCAACUAUAGACUCGGUGAAAUCUUAGUACCGGUGAAGAUGCCGGUUACCCGCAACUAGACGGAAAGACCCCGUGGAGCUUUACUGCAACUUGAUAUUGAGUUUUUCUCUGUUUUGUACAGGAUAGGUGGGAGACCGCAAGGCGUGGCUAUGAGGCUAGGACGUCAGUUCUAGCGGAGCCUCUGGUGGGAUACCACUCUGAGCAGCGGAGAAUUCUAACUUGUUGGUUUACAGCCAAAAGGACAGUGUCUGGUGGGUAGUUUGACUGGGGUGGUCGCCUCCUAAAAAGUAACGGAGGUGUUCAUAAGGUAUCCUCAAUAGGUAUAGAAAUCCUAUGGUGAGUGCAAAGGCAAAAGGAUGCUUAACUGUGAGACUUACAAGUCGAACAGAUACGAAAGUAGGACUUAGUGAUCCGGCGGUUACCUAGUGUAGGGCCGUCGCUAAACGGACAAAAGUUACCCCGGGGAUAACAGGCUAAUACUUCCCAAGAGACCACAUCGACGGAAGUGUUUGGCACCUCGAUGUCGACUCAUCGCAUCCUGGAGGUGAAGAAGCUUCCAAGGGUUGGGCUGUUCGCCCAUUAAAGCGGUACGUGAGUUGGGUUUAGAACGUCGUGAGACAGUUUGGUCCCUAUCUGUUGUGGGCGUAGGAAAUUUACGGAGAUCUGCUCCUAGUACGAGAGGACCGGAGUGGACUGACCAAUGGUGUACCAGUUGUCAUGUCAAUGGCACGGCUGGAUAGCUAUGUCAGGAAUGGAUAAGCACUGAAAGCAUCUAAGUACGAAGCCAACUUCAAGAUAAGAUUUCCCAUCCGUGAGGAGUAAGAUACCUUCUAGACCAGGAGGUUGAUAGGUGGAAAAUGCAAGUAUAGUAAUAUAUUUAGUUAAUCCAUACUAAUUUAUCGAGGAC
rnacentral:rRNA from 1 species